rnacentral:ncRNA from 1 species
CGGUCCCUAUCUGUUGUGGGCGUUGGAAAUUUGAGAGGACCUGACACCAGUACGAGAGGACCGUGUUGGACAUACCUCUAGUGUACCUGUUGUGGCGCCAGCUGCAUCGCAGGGUAGCUAUGUAUGGCAGAGAUAAGUGCUGAAAGCAUCUAAGCACGAAGCUUACCUCAAGAUGAGAUUUCCUUUAAGGGUCGUGAUAGACCAUCACGUUGAUAGGCUGCAGGUGUAAAGGCGGUAACGUCAAAGCUGAGCAGUACUAAUUACCCGUAACUUUAUGGUA